GAUGAACGCUAGCGGCAGGCUUAACACAUGCAAGUCGAGGGGCAGCAUAAUGGAUAGCAAUAUCUAUGGUGGCGACCGGCGCACGGGUGCGUAACGCGUAUGCAACCUACCUUUAACAGGGGGAUAACACUGAGAAAUUGGUACUAAUACCCCAUAAUAUCAUAGAAGGCAUCUUUUAUGGUUGAAAAUUCCGAUGGUUAGAGAUGGGCAUGCGUUGUAUUAGCUAGUUGGUGGGGUAACGGCUAACCAAGGCGACGAUACAUAGGGGGACUGAGAGGUUAACCCCCCAGACUGGAACUAAGACACGGACCAGAAUCCUACGGGAGGCAGCAGUGAGGAAUAAUGGUGAAUGGACGCAAGUCUGAACCAGCCAUGCCGCGUGAAGGAUGACGGCGCUAUGAGUUGUAAACUGCUUUUGUACGAGGGUAAACGCAGAUACGUGUAUCUGUCUGAAAGUAUCGUAAGAAUAAGGAUCGGCUAACUCCGUG
rnacentral:rRNA from 1 species